rnacentral:rRNA from 1 species
AUUGAACGCUGGCGGCAGGCCUAACACAUGCAAGUCGAGCGAGCGGCGGGCGGGUGAGUAAUGUAUGGGGACUGCCCGUUAGAGGUGGCUAACUACUGGAAACGCUAGCUAAUCCCGCAUACUAUCGGAUAACCCAUAGGGUAUUAGCUAGUAGGUGAGGUAAUGGCUCACAUAGGCGACGAUCCCUAGCUGGUCUGAGAGGAUGAUCAGCCACACUGGGACUGAGACACGGUCCAGACGCCUACGGAGGCAGCAGUGGGGAAUAUUGCACAAUGGGCGCAAGCCUGAUGCAGCCAUGCCGAGUGUAUGAAGAAGGCCCUAGGGUUGUAAAGUACUUUCAGUCGGGAGGCGUUACCGACAGAAGAAGCACCGGCUAACUCCGUGCCAGCAGCCGCGGUAAUUC